rnacentral:rRNA from 1 species
UUGGUUCGGGGGGNNANUUCUUAAUGUGGGAACUGNCCUCGGAUAAACGGGGUGAGGAAGGGUGGGGAUGANNUCAAGUCAGGCAUGGGCCUUUAUGUGCCAGGGCUACACACGUGCUACAAUGGACGGUACAGAGGGCUGCAAAGCCGUCGAGGUGGAGCUAAUCCCUAAAACCGUUCUCAGUUCGGAUCGCAGGCUGCAAUUUGCCUGCGUGAAGCCGGAAUCGCUAGUAAUCGCGGAUCUNCAUACGNCGCGAUGAAUACGUUCCUCGGGCCUUGUACACACCGCCCGUGAAUCACUAGUGAAUUCGCGCCCGC